GCCCUGAUAGCUCAGUUGGUAGAGCGCGUCACUAGUAAUGACGAGGUCGCCGGUUCGACUCCGUCUUAGGGCA
rnacentral:tRNA from 1 species